UAUAUGCUUAAAACAAGUAAAAUAAUAUUUUAAUUCAAGAGUCGCGCCAUACUUAGAACAAGUCGGUAAUAUCUUGAACCAAUGUUACCGUCUAUCUUAAUCCAAGAGAAAGAAAUUCUUGGGCGAAGUUGUAUGUAUCUUAUUUUAAAACAACCAAGUUUCUUGAUUCGAGAAUCAAUUUCUUAAGUUAAAAGAGAAUUGAAUUACUUAAAACAAGAAUGACAUUUUGAAGAAAAAGUUUUUCUUGAAUCAAGUCAUUUUUUUAUCAGUGUAUAAAGGGUAUUUUUAUUCUACUUAUCUCUGGUAAAAAUCUUAAUUUUUAAAGGUUAUAAUGGUUUCGGAAUCCGUACGCUAUCUUAAAUUGUUGAUUUAGUAGCACCAUCUAUUUCUUCGCUUUCCAUUCGGUUAUCAUCGAUCCGCUUUUUAAAGUUUUCCGAUUCAAUGACGUCACAAUAAUCAUCACUCUUACUCACGUUUUUGAUUUUUAUCAUCUGAUUUUUUAAUACCGUCAAACCAUUCUCUUGGUUUAUUUAUAACUUGAACAUUUUGAGGCUUGUUAUUUUCCAAAUUUUCAUCGCUCUUUUGUUGAUUAGUAUUUUAGGAGUAAGUAGAUAAGCAAGGCCGGUUUGACACCCCGAUAAAGUAGAUUCCUGCAUUACCGACCUUGGGUUUCUGCCUUAUUGGCGGUUGUUGGUGGAGUUUCUGCGAUAUCGAUGGUGGGUUUUUGUGCUAUGUUUUACCGGCUGUUGUGGGGGAUUAUCAUCGAUUUGGUGGUCGAUAUAUACCGACUGUUGUGGGGGAUUAUCAUCGAUUUGGUGGUCGAUAUUUACCGACUGUUGGGUGAUUAUCAACGAUUUGGUGAUCGAUAUUUACCGACUGUUGGGUGAUUAUCAUCGAUUUGUUGAUCGAUUGUUUGAGGUCAAAAUGCUACCACCCCAACAGCAGAGCUGAUACCUUUACCGUGUAUCAGCUUUGGUGUUGAUGUGAUAUGCACUUAUUUGAUGUGAUGAUGAAUUUUGUAUAUAUUCAAAUGACUUGUAGUAUAAGUAUAUGCGAGAAAGUUCGAUACUAACGCCGCUCUGGUGGGAUGAAAUGUAGGUAUUGAAGUCUGUUUAUCGAUUUGAGGUAAGUUUUAUCGACAGUCUGAUGUCAACUAGUGAUCUAUGUUAUCGACUGCGAGUAUCAACAGUCGGUAUUAUACCGAGUGAUGUUCUGUUUUAUCGGUGUGGGGUAAGAUUUUUUUGAAUUUUAACGUUUUUUUACACCCUCCUCUCUCGAUUACAUCAUGUCUUUUACAUCAUCCGACAAGUUUAAACCUGUUUUUUAGCGUCGUCAUCGUGAAUUUUAACGUUUUUUUUACCCCCUCCUCUCUCGAUUAUAUCAUGUUUUUUACGUCAUCCGACAAGUUUAAACCUGUUUUUGGCGUUGUCGUCGUCGUCGUCGUCGUCGUUGGGAGGGGAUCGUUGGUGGGGAGUUAUACUUACUCGCCUCCAAGUUUCAGUCCUCUGCCUGCAGUUACUUCAAUCAGUCGUUCAGUUUAAAAAAAAACUUGUGUCUUUUGUCAAAAAUAUUUAAAAUUGUGUAUUCUAGAGAAAAUCAGCUUAAUAAUUCAAAAAUGGAUUUGAGUGCUAUCAAUAAAAUCAACAACUUACCGAACUUUUUACCAACUAAAAAGUUUGAAGAACUGCAACU